UGGAUUUCUGUAGCCUAAAUAUCCUGAAAACUGUCCAACACUUGUCCUUCUCACACUUGACAGCAAGGACUCUUUCUGCUUUUCCUCCAGGCCUGGUGGCCAUGUCACAUGGGGCUCAAGCUUUCUGGCAUUUCAAGCAGAAGUGGAAGAAGUUUAAUGGACAAUGAUUGCUGUCAAGCCCUGCAGGGACAGGUUUCAAGUGGCAGCUAUGUGGGAUAAAUGCAGCAUGUGGAAUACAGGGCCUGAGGGAUGCUCAGCACCCAGCAUUACAGGAUUCUGCCUUUUUCUUG